AAAACAUCGCCUCCUGAAUAAUUAUAGGAGGUCCAGCCUGCCCAGUGACAAAGUUAAACGGCCGCGGUACCCUAACCGUGCAAAGGUAGCGCAAUCACUUGUUCUUUAAAUGAGGACUAGUAUGAAUGGCAUCACGAGGGUUAUACUGUCUCCCCCACCUAAUCAGUGAAACUGAUCUUCCCGUGAAGAAGCGGGAAUAGAAUUAUAAGACGAGAAGACCCCAUGGAGCUUUAAACUCAACAUCAACUGCCCUAUAAAUAGCUUAUUAACCACGCAGAUCUGACAGUUGGUUUUCGGUUGGGGUGACCGCGGAGUAAAACAAAACCUCCACGAUGAAAGGAAUUAACCUCCUAAUCUAAGAGCUACAGCUCUAAGAAUCAACAAAUUGACAAAAUUUGAUCCAAAUAUUUUGAUCAACGAACCAAGUUACCCUGGGGAUAACAGCGCAAUCCAUUUCAAGAGCUCAUAUCGACAAAUGGGUUUACGACCUCGAUGUUGGAUCAGGGUAUCCUAGUGGCGCAGCCGCUACUAAUGGUUCGUUUGUUCAACGAUUAAAACCCUACGUGAUCUGAG
rnacentral:rRNA from 1 species